AUUACCUGGGAGUCUUGUUAAUAUGCAGAUUCUGAUCCUGCAGGUCUUGGGUGGUGCCUGAGAUUCUGCAUUUUUAACAAGCUCCUAGAUGAUGUUGA
rnacentral:pre_miRNA from 1 species